AUUGAACGCUGGCGGAAUGCUUAACACAUGCAAGUCGAGCGGGGGUGUAGCAAUACACCUAGCGGCGGACGGGUGAGGAAUACAUAGGAAUCUGCCUCAGAGCGGGGGAUAGCCCGGGGAAACCCGGAUUAAUACCGCAUGAUGUCGCAAGACCAAAGUGGGGGACCGCAAGGCCCCACACUCUGAGAUGAGCCUAUGUCCGAUUAGCUAGUUGGCGGGGUAAUAGCCCACCAAGGCGACGAUCGGUAGCUGGCCUGAGAGGACGAUCAGCCACACCGGAACUGAGACACGGUCCGGACUCCUACGGGAGGCAGCAGUGGGGAAUAUUGGACAAUGGGCGCAAGCCUGAUCCAGCGACGCCGCGUGGGUGAAGAAGGCCUGCGGGUUGUAAAGCCC
rnacentral:rRNA from 1 species